CUACGUGCCAGCAGCCGCGGUAAUACGGAAGGUCCAGGCGUUAUCCGGAUUUAUUGGGUUUAAAGGGAGUGUAGGCGGUUUGUUAAGCGUGUUGUGAAAUUUAGGUGCUCAACAUUUAACUUGCAGCGCGAACUGUCAGACUUGAGUACACGCAACGUAUGCGGAAUUCAUGGUGUAGCGGUGAAAUGCUUAGAUAUCAUGAAGAACUCCGAUUGCGAAGGCAGCAUACGGGAGUGUAACUGACGCUUAAGCUCGAAGGUGCGGGUAUCAAACAGGAUUAGAUACCCUGGUAGUCCGCACAGUAAACGAUGGAUGCCCGUUGUUAGUUCACUUAAGAAUUAGCGACCAAGCGAAAGCAUUAAGCAUCCCACCUGGGGAGUACGCCGGCAACGGUGAAACUCAAAGGAAUUGACGGGGGCCCGCACAAGCGGAGGAACAUGUGGUUUAAUUCGAUGAUACGCGAGGAACCUUACCCGGGCU
rnacentral:rRNA from 1 species